GGGAAGGUUAAAAAAGAGUGUCGGAAAAUAUUUUUCCUUCUCAUGAUAGUCGCAUGAUAAACUCCAUUAUUAUAUGUUGAAUUUCGUAAUUUUUAAAGGUAAAACUCCAACACAUGGUACUAGAGUUCGAACCCUUUCAAAAUUUUGCUAGACCAAUCCAUUCAUGAACUAGUCUACGCUUAACCUCAGUCAUGCCACCAUCUCCAAAUUCAAACUUUUGCAAGUUCUGCCAUUUGCUCGAAGGAUUUCCACCAAGUUUGUAGGUUGAAUUUCCUAAAUUGUAAUGAGCAGCAUCGUCCAAACGUCUAAUUCAACCAUUUUCUUAACUUCUCCAAUUCCCAUCGAACCAAACGAUCACCACCCAACCCAACAUAAAGGAGAAAAACUACAAACCUUUAACAAAAAACGCAGAAACACAAUGCUUCAUGCCAGGGGUGGAUUUAUAGGCACAUGAACCCAUUGUUUCUCUGCAAAAUUCGAUAUUUUAUGCACAUAUUUUUUAAAAUAGGUAUAAUAUUAAGUGUUGGAAUCCAUUCUCUAAGAAGGUUGAAUGGUGCACUCGAUUGAAGAUUGAGUUAGUUAACUAGAGGAAUAGGGAUCAAUUCUCACUUCAUUUAUUUUUUCCUCCUUUGUUUUAGUAGCGCACCCAGGAGUGUAUAAAAUGAUUAACUAAAGGAUAUAUAAUAUAAGGUGUGUAUGUUUUAUUUUGUUUUCAAUUUGAACCCCAAGAACGAUUCAUUGGGUUUAAGAUCUUCAUGGCUAAGUGUAAAAAUUUAGGAAUUUUUAUUUCCGGUAGCAAAGGUUGAUAUCUUAUUUAUUUUAAAUAAAUAUCCUUUUAAAAAAUUAUAUUUCAUAACCUUUUGAUUUUUAUAGCCAAAUAUCUUUUAUGGUUACCUCCUACCCUUAAGCCAUAAAAUACGCUUUGUAUUAUUUUUCUCUCUCAUUCUUUUAGAUUUUUCUCCGUCCCCUCUCUCUCAAUGUCAGUCUUUCUCCAUGAAUACAACCAUAAUUCUCCACUGAUUCGUCUCCAUUGUCGAACGAAAUUUCAUUGUCAGUGCCCUGGGGCUCUGAAUCAGUAUCGAAAUCAAGCCCUAGAGAGAAAGAUGGAGAUUCGAAAUCUGCUAUUAAAAGGUAAAUUGGUGCUGACAAUGAAAAUUUCGUAUAUUUAUGUUUAAUGAUUGAAGAGUCUGUUUAGAAAUCAAUGUCUUAUAUAUGUUUCGUAUUAAUGUCGAAAUCUAACAUAGGGUAAAUUGGGGCUGACAAUGGAGGUUCGAAAUCUGCUAUUGACGAGACGACAUUAAGGUUAUUAGUAAACAAAGACGACGGAGUUUGGGGCUGAGCAACUUGAAGAGUCUGUUACCUUUUUUUUUCCAUUGUAUUUCAAUGUAUCUCGAUGUAUUCUAUGUAUUUCAUUCUAUUCAUUGUCUUUUUUUUUUCCAUUGUAUUGAAUUCAAUGUAUCUCGAUGUAUUUCAUGUAUUUUAUUGUAUUCAUUGUCUCGCUAUAUUCGACGAG
rnacentral:lncRNA from 1 species